GAAACUAGAGGUCAUCUUUUCAUCCAUUGUCCUUUUGCACAUGUAUGUUGGACAUACCUUUGCCCAUCUUGGAAACCAAGCUACCAAGGAGUCCAGGCAGAUAUUGAUCACAUCAAGGAACUCCUGGGAAUGCCUUUCUCUUUUGAGAUCAUCAUUUUAGCCUCAUGGGAAAUUUGGACAACAAGGAAUGACUUCAUCUUCAAAGGCAUUACUCCUAACCUUUAUACUUGCAGGAAGAAGUUUAAGGAGGAGCUCAAAUAAACUAUCCACGGAGCAAAGAGAAAAGGGUAUCUUCAUAUUGAAACAUGGGUCAACUCUUUUUGA
rnacentral:rRNA from 1 species